rnacentral:lncRNA from 1 species
CUUACCCUUGGGAAGUGAGCACGCGCAGUGCGUUUAGGAAGUUGUACGCAUACCCAACUGAAGCUUUCUUCCCUUCUCCAGUGGAGUGCACCUGCACAGAAACUCUCUCUGUACCACGUACCUGCUGCCAGAAGCUGGGAAGGAGUGGUGCUGGUGAUUCAAAACUGAUUUUCCUGCCUCUUCGAUGCCUCUUUUAGUGACAUACAGUUAAGACCAGGCACUUAAAUCCACUUCUGAGGAGAAGAAUGAAAGCCAAGGCAGAUAUGAAAGAGCCAUGGACUGCUGACCUUUGAACCCUGAGAGGAGUGCAGAGCUCACUCAUAUUCUAAUGAAGUAUUUUUCUACCCUUAUUAUGAUUCUGACUCACUAUACUUCUUAUCAAAAUUACAUGAUGAGGAAUUGUAUGUUUGAAUAGCAGUCAAAUGAGAAGAGACUUUAUCAUUUAGCAAAUCUAUCUGCCCAAUUUCGUAGCUUGAGACAAUGCAAAAAUGUCAACCCAUGAUCUCUAUCCCAUUUUCUUUUGAUUAUCUCUACAGCUUGUAAAAAUCUCUGUACUUUUUUUCCAGUUUAAUUCUAUCUAGGUUAUAUUAUACAUUGAUUUAGUUGAAUAAAAUCUAUUACAUAAUAAUGCUUGGUGAUUAUUACUUUUAUAAACCCAAUUUUAGUCAGUUCAGUGUCAUCCCAAAGGCACUGUUACAUGAAAU